rnacentral:rRNA from 1 species
GAUGAACGCUGGCGGCGUGCCUAAUACAUGCCAGUCGAGCGAACAGACGAGGAGCUUGCUCCUCUGACGUUAGCGGCGGACGGGUGAGUAACACGUGGAUAACCUACCUAUAAGACUGGGAUAACUUCGGGAAACCGGAGCUAAUACCGGAUAAUAUAUUGAACCGCAUGGUUCAAUAGUGAAAGACGGUUUUGCUGUCACUUAUAGAUGGAUCCGCGCCGCAUUAGCUAGUUGGUAAGGUAACGGCUUACCAAGGCAACGAUGCGUAGCCGACCUGAGAGGGUGAUCGGCCACACUGGAACUGAGACACGGUCCAGACUCCUACGGGAGGCAGCAGUAGGGAAUCUUCCGCAAUGGGCGAAAGCUUGACAGAGCAACGCCGCGUGAGUGAUGAAGGUCUUCGGAUCGUAAAACUCUGUUAUUAGGGAAGAACAAAUGUGUAAGUAACUAUGCACGUCUUGACGGUACCUAAUCAGAAAGCCACGGCUAACUACGUG